rnacentral:rRNA from 1 species
ACUCCUACGGGAGGCAGCAGUAGGGAAUCUUCCACAAUGGACGAAAGUCUGAUGGAGCAACGCCGCGUGAGUGAAGAAGGGUUUCGGCUCGUAAAGCUCUGUUGGUAGUGAAGAAAGAUAGAGGUAGUAACUGGCCUUUAUUUGACGGUAAUUACUUAGAAAGUCACGGCUAACUACGUGCCAGCAGCCGCGGUAAU